CUUAUCAAGUAUCUCUAGAGCCAUAUCGAGUAAAGAAAAAUAAGCGGGAUCACGUCAAGCUCGCCAGCCAAUCUGCGCGUAAUUUGAGACUCCGUUAGUUGAAUCAUUAAAAAAAAGUUAAAACAGUGAAUUAUUAUCGAAGUAAAUAUAAUUUACAGUUAAAAAUGCCACAAAGCCGCAGUAGUGUUUGGCAGUACUUCACCAGAAUACGCAAAGACGAGGUGAAGUGCAAAAUUAGCUUCAAAACUCUUAAAUCAUCAGGAAACACCUCACACAUGCAUAAGCAUAUAAAGAGCCACCCCGAAGUGAGUGCAAAAGAAACUGGAAAAAAACUAUCAACUUUUACAAGAGAUCUUGAUCCAAUAAGUUCAAGUCAUGAAACUGAGCCGCAUAAGUAUAAGUAUUUUGAGACCACUAGAGAAUGUUACCGAUGGUGAAUACCCUGAAGAACCAGAUUAAUAAUGUACAUGUGGAUGUAGAUGCGGACGACGGUGGUAUGGCAGUCAUACAUGCCGUAAGGAAAGAAAUAAUUAAACAAUUGGAACGCCGAUUCGGAUCCAUCGAAGAAACCCACCUAAUUGCGAUAGCUUGUUUACUGGAUCCAAGAUUCAAAAAUAGCCCUUCUAAAGCUUGUACGAAAGCAAUUAAUUUGCUAAGAAAAUUUCUAUUAUCCAGCCCUAAUUCUCUCUCCAGUGAGAAUGAGAGUGAUACUUCCAUAGACUCAGCAAACAAUCUUUGGAGUGAUUAUAAGAAGUGGACGCACGCAGGGAAGCAGACCAAAAAAACAAGAUCUACAGUGAACGAUGACGAAGUAGGUCGCUACCUGUCUACCCACGUUUUACCACUUUCCAUCGACCCUUUAAAACAAUGGGGUGAUAUGAAAGUAGUUUAUCCCAAACUAUACAACU